UUGCUGCAAAAUUUCAACAUUACAACAUUCAGAGAAUCAGAAAGUAUCCCAGCAUGCAGCAGGUCUCCUGACAGAGACGCCAUCUCACACCUCGACUACUGCAACACCUUGCUGACAGGUUAAACACCAUGAACAUCCAAACACAUCACACCUUCACACCACCUUUUAGUCCAAAUCUUCUGACACACUGAUGGACACUUAUUUUAUUUCUCUUGGAUUUCUUUUUAAUAGAAUGCAACGGGCCCCAGACUCUGGAUCUAUAGUUGCACCCUAAACAUUGCUGGCAUUGUAUCCGAGGGCUCUCUUCAAGAUGGUGACUGUUCCCUAAAUUGCAGACUGCACCUUGGUAACCGGGGAUUGCCUCGAGGUAUUGCUUCAGGUUUUUCUUCAUAAGGCCUGUUGCCCCACAACAACUGGUAUUAUUUCAAUGACCAUGUUGUUCGUAGGUCAUUUAAGGUUUUGAUAUUUCCUGAUUUCUUUUCUCCCCCUUUCUGCCCUAUUCAGGCCAUAGUCAUUGGGGACUUGUUACAUCAAUAAUUUGGGCUGGUUUUUUUUCUUAUUCCAAAUAAUAUCAGGUUUAACUGCACCUCCUUUAAUAUGACUGUUGCACGUUUAUUGUGUCGUUUGCCAUGUUCCUGUAGACUAGCCUGUAGUUUUCUGAAAAUUGUUUAUCUGUUUUGCAUUUAUCUUCUUGUCUUUGUUCCUUAUUUGUGCAACUAAGGCUUUAAAUAAAGCUUGAUGUUCUGGCAGCCUCCCAUCCAGUUAUUUAUCACCAACAUUAUAUAUUCUUUUAAAUGAAUGCUAUUGACUUUCUUAAGGAGGAUCCUUUUAUGAUCCUGGCCUCACAUAAAUAUUGUAAUUUGGGAGAUCUCUGCUCUUUUUCCAUUGUAGGACAGUAUUCCUCUUCCAAACUGUGGUUCCUCUUCUUUCCAAAUACUCUGGGGCUAAUGUACUUAGUGGAAAAAAAAAACCUGUUGGUUUAGCAGUAUUGCUAGUGUUAUAGAUUUGUUGUGUUUUUGUAGCUCAAGUAGUCUGUCUGGUGAAGAUGAGUAAUCUUGUUACCGUGAAUAAAAGGUGCCUUGCUUUUGAUGGAUUUAUUUACAAAAAGGCCUGAAAGUUCAGCUAAAAUUUACCAGAAGGUACAUCUGAAAUGCAAGCCUAGAUUUAAUGUUUUGGUGAAACUUUGGAAGCCGGAUCAAAUCAAAACUCUAUACAAAAAUAGCUGACUUUAGAAGAAAAAUGUUUGCGAAAGGAAUUUGGAGUUGAAUAAGAAAAAGGUUUUAAUUUGAAAAAUCGAAAAAGGAAGUUAAAUGCGCCUGCGCGUUUAACUUAACAAAAGUUGCAAAAGUUAUCUGUCCAUAAGGAAAAGUAAUUUCUUGCUGGCACGACCAAACAAGAAUUAAGUCUUAAGUAGCACGUAGCUUUUAAACAAAGAGUCGUAAAUCUUUGACGGCUAGGCCGCAUCUUCAGACUCCAAAAAAGAAAGAAGUAGAAGAGGAGAAGGUGAGAGAGGGGACGGCAAGAGUGCAAGAGAGCGAUUUCCCGGGGCACAGGCUCUUUUAAAGGUUUGAGAGCGCUGUGCAGAGAGAAAACAUUGACGAAUGAGCCAACGAAUUCCCAUCACCGAAUAUCCUACGAAUCAUGAGCACAAAAAGAACGAAGGAUAAACGAGACAAGACGUUAACGCUUUGAACGACAGCAGAAACCGAAGCUUCGAUGCUUUGAAUGACAGCUAAAAACAGCGAUCACUCAUCAGCCCGGUAGGUGGCGGUAAAUGGUACUGUCUGCCAUUGAAUACGAAUGAAGAAGAACAAAACGACUGGCAGCAUCUAUAAAAGCCACUGGCAGCCAACGUCUCACUCAUUUGCGCAGUACAUCCAGGUGAGUAACUUGUCUCUUUUCACAUCUUUGUCAUGUGGGCAUGUCUGUACUUGUCCCGAGGAGCUGCACCGGCAUCAAAGCUUAUUUUACAGUUUAUUUUUGCCGUGCCACUCUGUGUUUUUGCAGCGGAU